CCCUUAGAUGUUCUGGGCCGCACGCGUGCUACACUGAGUGGAUCAGCGGGUCAGGUUGCGCGAAAGCGUUUCCUAAUCUUUAAAUCCGCUCGUGAUGGGGAUUGACGGUUGCAAUUUUCUGUCAUGAACGAGGAAUACCUUGUAAGCGCGGGUCAUCAUCCCGCGCUGAAUACGUCCCUGCCCUUUGUACACACCGCCCGUCGCUCCUACCGAUUGAGUGGUCCGGUGAGGCUUUGGGAUCUGAGCGGAAGGAGCGUUUCGCUGUUUCUGCUCGGAAAACUCAGUCGAACCUUAUCAUUUAGAGGAAGGAGAAGUCGUAACG
rnacentral:rRNA from 1 species